GGUUAAGCGACUAAGCGUACACGGUGGAUGCCCUGGCAGUCAGAGGCGAUGAAGGACGUGCUAAUCUGCGAUAAGCGUCGGUAAGGUGAUAUGAACCGUUAUAACCGGCGAUUUCCGAAUGGGGAAACCCAGUGUGUUUCGACACACUAUCAUUAACUGAAUCCAUAGGUUAAUGAGGCGAACCGGGGGAACUGAAACAUCUAAGUACCCCGAGGAAAAGAAAUCAACCGAGAUUCCCCCAGUAGCGGCGAGCGAACGGGGAGCAGCCCAGAGCCUGAAUCAGUGUGUGUGUUAGUGGAAGCGUCUGGAAAGGCGCGCGAUACAGGGUGACAGCCCCGUACACAAAAAUGCACAUGCUGUGAGCUCGAUGAGUAGGGCGGGACACGUGGUAUCCUGUCUGAAUAUGGGGGGACCAUCCUCCAAGGCUAAAUACUCCUGACUGACCGAUAGUGAACCAGUACCGUGAGGGAAAGGCGAAAAGAACCCCGGCGAGGGGAGUGAAAAAGAACCUGAAACCGUGUACGUACAAGCAGUGGGAGCACGCUUAGGCGUGUGACUGCGUACCUUUUGUAUAAUGGGUCAGCGACUUAUAUUCUGUAGCAAGGUUAACCGAAUAGGGGAGCCGAAGGGAAACCGAGUCUUAACUGGGCGUUAAGUUGCAGGGUAUAGACCCGAAACCCGGUGAUCUAGCCAUGGGCAGGUUGAAGGUUGGGUAACACUAACUGGAGGACCGAACCGACUAAUGUUGAAAAAUUAGCGGAUGACUUGUGGCUGGGGGUGAAAGGCCAAUCAAACCGGGAGAUAGCUGGUUCUCCCCGAAAGCUAUUUAGGUAGCGCCUCGUGAACUCAUCUCCGGGGGUAGAGCACUGUUUCGGCAAGGGGGUCAUCCCGACUUACCAACCCGAUGCAAACUGCGAAUACCGGAGAAUGUUAUCACGGGAGACACACGGCGGGUGCUAACGUCCGUCGUGAAGAGGGAAACAACCCAGACCGCCAGCUAAGGUCCCAAAGUCAUGGUUAAGUGGGAAACGAUGUGGGAAGGCCCAGACAGCCAGGAUGUUGGCUUAGAAGCAGCCAUCAUUUAAAGAAAGCGUAAUAGCUCACUGGUCGAGUCGGCCUGCGCGGAAGAUGUAACGGGGCUAAACCAUGCACCGAAGCUGCGGCAGCGACGCUUAUGCGUUGUUGGGUAGGGGAGCGUUCUGUAAGCCUGUGAAGGUGUGCUGUGAGGCAUGCUGGAGGUAUCAGAAGUGCGAAUGCUGACAUAAGUAACGAUAAAGCGGGUGAAAAGCCCGCUCGCCGGAAGACCAAGGGUUCCUGUCCAACGUUAAUCGGGGCAGGGUGAGUCGACCCCUAAGGCGAGGCCGAAAGGCGUAGUCGAUGGGAAACAGGUUAAUAUUCCUGUACUUGGUGUUACUGCGAAGGGGGGACGGAGAAGGCUAUGUUGGCCGGGCGACGGUUGUCCCGGUUUAAGCGUGUAGGCUGGUUUUCCAGGCAAAUCCGGAAAAUCAAGGCUGAGGCGUGAUGACGAGGCACUACGGUGCUGAAGCAACAAAUGCCCUGCUUCCAGGAAAAGCCUCUAAGCAUCAGGUAACAUCAAAUCGUACCCCAAACCGACACAGGUGGUCAGGUAGAGAAUACCAAGGCGCUUGAGAGAACUCGGGUGAAGGAACUAGGCAAAAUGGUGCCGUAACUUCGGGAGAAGGCACGCUGAUAUGUAGGUGAAGCGACUUGCUCGUGGAGCUGAAAUCAGUCGAAGAUACCAGCUGGCUGCAACUGUUUAUUAAAAACACAGCACUGUGCAAACACGAAAGUGGACGUAUACGGUGUGACGCCUGCCCGGUGCCGGAAGGUUAAUUGAUGGGGUUAGCGCAAGCGAAGCUCUUGAUCGAAGCCCCGGUAAACGGCGGCCGUAACUAUAACGGUCCUAAGGUAGCGAAAUUCCUUGUCGGGUAAGUUCCGACCUGCACGAAUGGCGUAAUGAUGGCCAGGCUGUCUCCACCCGAGACUCAGUGAAAUUGAACUCGCUGUGAAGAUGCAGUGUACCCGCGGCAAGACGGAAAGACCCCCGUGAACCUUUACUAUAGCUUGACACUGAACAUUGAGCCUUGAUGUGUAGGAUAGGUGGGAGGCUUUGAAGUGUGGACGCCAGUCUGCAUGGAGCCGACCUUGAAAUACCACCCUUUAAUGUUUGAUGUUCUAACGUUGACCCGUAAUCCGGGUUGCGGACAGUGUCUGGUGGGUAGUUUGACUGGGGCGGUCUCCUCCUAAAGAGUAACGGAGGAGCACGAAGGUUGGCUAAUCCUGGUCGGACAUCAGGAGGUUAGUGCAAUGGCAUAAGCCAGCUUGACUGCGAGCGUGACGGCGCGAGCAGGUGCGAAAGCAGGUCAUAGUGAUCCGGUGGUUCUGAAUGGAAGGGCCAUCGCUCAACGGAUAAAAGGUACUCCGGGGAUAACAGGCUGAUACCGCCCAAGAGUUCAUAUCGACGGCGGUGUUUGGCACCUCGAUGUCGGCUCAUCACAUCCUGGGGCUGAAGUAGGUCCCAAGGGUAUGGCUGUUCGCCAUUUAAAGUGGUACGCGAGCUGGGUUUAGAACGUCGUGAGACAGUUCGGUCCCUAUCUGCCGUGGGCGCUGGAGAACUGAGGGGGGCUGCUCCUAGUACGAGAGGACCGGAGUGGACGCAUCACUGGUGUUCGGGUUGUCAUGCCAAUGGCACUGCCCGGUAGCUAAAUGCGGAAGAGAUAAGUGCUGAAAGCAUCUAAGCACGAAACUUGCCCCGAGAUGAGUUCUCCCUGACCCUUUAAGGGUCCUGAAGGAACGUUGAAGACGACGACGUUGAUAGGCCGGGUGUGUAAGCGCAGCGAUGCGUUGAGCUAACCGGUACUAAUGAACCGUGAGGCUUAACCUU
rnacentral:rRNA from 1 species